UACGUAGGGGGCAAGCGUUGUCCGGAUUCAUUGGGCGUAAAGAGCGUGUAGGCGGUCGUGCGCGUCGGAGGUGAAAUCCCCGGGCUUAACCCGGGAGCUGCCUCCGAUACGGCAUGGCUUGAGUCCGGGAGAGGGGAGCAGAAUUCCCAGUGUAGCGGUGAAAUGCGUAGAUAUUGGGAGGAACACCAGUGGCGAAGGCGACUUCCUGGCCUGUUCUUGACGCUGAGGCGCGAAAGCUAGGGGAGCAAACGGG
rnacentral:rRNA from 1 species